CUCCUUUGACGUUAGCGGCGGACGGGUGAGUAACACGUUGGUAACCUACCUAUAAGACUGGGAUAACUUCGGGAAACCGGAGCUAAUACCGGAUAAUAUUUCGAACCGCAUGGUUCGAUAGUGAAAGGUGGUUUUGCUAUCACUUAUAGAUGGACCCGCGCCGUAUUAGCUAGUUGGUAAGGUAACGGCUUACCAAGGCGACGAUACGUAGCCGACCUGAGAGGGUGAUCGGCCACACUGGAACUGAGACACGGUCCAGACUCCUACGGGAGGCAGCAGGC
rnacentral:rRNA from 1 species